rnacentral:rRNA from 1 species
ACUCCUACGGGAGGCAGCAGUGAGGAAUAUUGGUCAAUGGAGGGAACUCUGAACCAGCCAUCCCGCGUGUAGGAAGACGGCCUUAUGGGUUGUAAACUACUUUUAUACAGGAAGAAACGUACCCUCGUGAGGGUGCCUGACGGUACUGUAGGAAUAAGCACCGGCUAACUCCGUGCCAGCAGCCGCGGUAAUACGGAGGGUGCGAGCGUUAUCCGGAUUUAUUGGGUUUAAAGGUCCGUAGGCGGGUUAAUAAGUCAGUGGUGAAAUCCCAUCGCUUAACGAUGGAACUGCCAUUGAUACUGUAGAACUUGAAUUAUUGUGAAGUAACUAGAAUAUGUAGUGUAGCGGUGAAAUGCUUAGAGAUUACAUGGAAUACCAAUUGCGAAGGCAGGUUACUAACAAUAUAUUGACGCUGAUGGACGAAAGCGUGGGGUAGCGAACAGGAUUAGAUACCCUGGUAGCGACUG